rnacentral:rRNA from 1 species
CCCUUAGAUGUUCUGGGCCGCACGCGCGCUACACUGAUGCAUUCAACGAGUUUCUUCCUGGUCCGAGAGGAAUGGGUAACCUUUUGAAAGUGCAUCGCGAUAGGGAUAGACUAUUGCAAUUAUUGGUCUUCAACGAGGAAUUCCUAGUAGACGUAGUUCAUCAGACUGCAUCGAUUACGUCCCUGCCCUUUGUACACACCGCCCGUCGCUCCUACCGAUUGAAUGCUCAGGUGAGCCAUUCGGACUUUCAUCAUGCUGGUUUCCAGUUUUGAUGAAGGAAAGUCUUGCGAACCUUAUCAUUUAGAGGAAGGAGAGGUCGUAACA